GGUUUGUGGCUCAGUGGUAGACUGCUCGCCUGGCAUGCAUGAGGCACUGGGUUAGAUACUCAGCACCA
rnacentral:tRNA from 1 species